GUCGGUGUCGUCUAGCGGUUAGGACGUGAGUUUAACACGCUCAAGAUCGAGGGCUCGAUCCCCUCCUCCGAUA
rnacentral:tRNA from 1 species